UUCAGAUAAGAGAUCUGGGCUGGCAAGACGACUCUAAUUAAUAUACUUGCUAAUGGAAGUGCCUUGGAGAUCGUGGUAGAUACGUGUACUGCAGAUGCUCAGAAGUUUAACGAGAGGACACAGGGUGAAAAGAUUGCAGCAUAGAGAAGUGACUUACCCGAAGUAGCUUAGACGCUGGAGAAGCCGCAACAAUGAAGCAAAAUGAAGCAAUGGAGAGCAAGUUUCAGGGCAGCUGAGUACAGCAGGAGAGGUAGGCGGGAGACUCCAAAACCAGGCUCUUAUACUUCAUCUAGACAACCACAGGCUACACUUGGAAGACAGCAAAGCAGCCGGACACAGCGCCGUUGAGGAGUGAUCUUUGCUAACCCCCCCCCAAGGAGCUAGAUUCCAGCUAGUGAGCCAGAACAGCUGCCAACAGCUGACCUCUGUUGGAUCGACAGAAGCUGAUGUGGCCCACUUACUGACUGUGAAAUCUCUGCGUGUACAUUGAAUUUAGGGGAAUUUUAAUUGUUAUAUAAAUGUAUGAAUUAGAGUCAGCAGCGUUCUUUCAUGAUUGUUCUGCCAACACAUAAAACAGAACAAAACUGACUCACCCCCCAGAAAUGGUCACAAAUAAAGAAAAUU